ACCCUGACGCUCUGCCCUCUCCCUGCAGCCGACUCUCCCGCUCAUGGAGAUCGUAGCCCUGCCCUUCGUGUUCAAGGGCUGGCCUAACACUCUCCCCUGGGUCUCCCUCCUCUCUAGGACCCCCUGCACACCCAGCUUCCCUGUACCUGGCACCAAGAUCCGGGAGAAGGCCUCAGGCUGACUCAGCGUGUCCACCUUGACGUGCCGGAAGGCCUUGCACACGGGGCUCUGCAGGUGCCUAACUCAUAGACCACGAAGGUGAGGCCAUCGGCCAGCCUCACUGCCGCGAUGCUGGGGAGAGAGAGGCUCCAGCUGGAGGGCUGCCCCCCAAGAGCCUGGCAGAGGUGGGAGGGGCCCCCAGCACUGGCCCUCCGGUGUGUUCAGUGAGGAUCCCCGCCACCUGGUGCCAGGCCCGGUCCCGGAAGGUGGCCAGGAAAUACUCACUGAACGAAUCGCCACGAAACGACACUUGAAAAGGCCUUACUUUACUGCCAUUUAAAAACCCCACCUUUCAAAAUAAACACAUCUUCCUCC